rfam:Mesocricetus auratus contig146055, whole genome shotgun sequence.
GGAGAGAUGGCUCAGAGUUUAAGAGCACUGGCUAUUCUUCCAGAGGUCUUGGGUUCAAAUCCCAGCAGCCCCA